GCGGCGCUGCGCGGCGCGGCUGCCGGGAGUCCCCGGCACGGGUUGCGGGCCGGGGCGGAAAGGUCUCCUGGCUGUCUGAGGUCCAGUCCCCGACUCUGGGCCUGCAGCAGCGAGUGGCGGCGAGGGAACCGCACCCCACAGUCCCCGCGGGCGGGGAUGCGGAAGGCACCGCGGCUGGGAGGGGACCGGCCCUCCGCGCCCCACCCCGUGCACGCGCUCACUCCUGCGGCGCACCCGGAACUGCCGCCGAGCGCGGACCGGCCCGGCCCAGCCCAACCCAGCCCAACCCAGCACUGGGGGAGCGCGCCGGGAGCGGGGCAGGAGCCCAGCGCUGCCGCUCGCUACGGCAGGAUCUGGAGCGCCGCGCUGCACCUGAGCCCGGGCACGAAUUGAGGAGCCUCGGGCUGACGCCAUUUAUUCAGCACCUACUAUGUGCCAGGCCUUGUUUAGGCACCGGAAGAUAACAGAUAAGACAUAAAGAUCCCUGCCGGUAUAGCUGCAGACAGAAUAUCUGUGAGGAUGACACAGAGACAGGAUCUCCCUAUGUUGCCCAAGCUGGUCUCAAACUCCUGGACUCAAGCAAGCCUCCUACCUCGGCCUCCUGAAGUGUUGGGAUUACAGGCAUGAGCCACGGUGCACAGCAAGAGCUUUAACCUUAAUGACCAUUCAUUCUCUACCCCACAUUACCUACAACUGAUACAGCAUGCGAAGAGGGUCUUUGCUUACCCUUCACCUUCCACCAUGAUUGUAAGUUUCCUGAGGCCUCCAAGCCAUGAUUCCUGUUAAGCCUGCAGAACUAUUGCCUGCUCCUGCAGAGGGCUGCUGCCAUGUCAUGAGCACUCUCAAGCAGCUCUAGCGAGGGGUCAUGUCAUGAGGAACUGAGACCUUCUGCCAAUAGCUGUGUGAAUGAGCCAUCAUGGAGGCAGGUCCUCCAGCCCCAGUCAAGCCUUCAGAUGAUGGCAGCCCCAGCUGAUGAUUUGACUGCAAACUCUCAUGCAACCAGGAAUAAGAACCACUCAGCAGAACCACUCCCAAUUUCCUGACCCACAGAAACUGUGAGAUAAAUAAAUAUUGCUUUAAGCUGCUGUGCUUAGGGAUAAUUUGUUACACAGCAAUAGAUAAGUUAUACAUUUUGUAUGACUUUUUUUUUUCUUUUUGAGACAGGGUCUCACUCUGCCACCCAGGUUGGAGUGCAGUGGCAUGAUCACAGCUCACUGCAGCCUCAACCUCCCAGGUUCAAGCGAUACUCUUGCCUCAGCCACCUGAGUAGC
rnacentral:lncRNA from 1 species